GACGAACGCUGGCGGCGUGCCUAAUACAUGCAAGUCGAACGCAGUGGGGACGGGUGAGUAACACGUUGGUAACCUCCCAUCAGAAGAGAUAACACUUGGAAACAGGUGCUAACCCGAAACUGAUGGGUGGAGCUGCGGUGCAUUUGCUUGUUGGUGGGGUAACGGCUCACCAAGGCCACGAUGCAUAGCCGACCGGAGAGGGGGAGCGGCCACACUGGGACUGAGACACGGCCCAGACUCCUACGGGAGGAAGCAGUGGGGAAUCUUCGGCAAUGGACGAAAGUCUGACCGAGCAACGCCGCGGGAGGGAAGAGGGUUUUCGGAUCGUAAAACUCUGUUGUGAGAGAAGCGGUAUCGAACCAGAAAGCCACGGCUAACUACGUGCCAGCAGCCGCGGUAAUUC
rnacentral:rRNA from 1 species